GCCGGCGUGGCGAAAUGGCAGACGCAACGGACUUAAAAUCCGUUGGGGCGAAAGCUCCGUGCGGGUUCGAGUCCCGCCGCCGGCA
rnacentral:tRNA from 1 species